UACGGAGGGGGCGAGCGUUUAUUCGGAAUUACUGGGCGUAAAGGGCGCGUAGGCGGUGUGUCAAGUCAGGCGUGAAAGCCCCGGGCUCAACCUGGGAACCGCGCUUGAGACUGGCACGCUAGAGUUCGGGAGAGGAUGGUGGAAUUCCCAGUGUAGAGGUGAAAUUCGUAGAUAUUGGGAAGAACACCGGUGGCGAAGGCGGUCUGCUGGGGGUCGAA
rnacentral:rRNA from 1 species